AGCUUAUGGGUGAAAGGAAGAUUACGACGUAGAUGUAGAGGUGUAGAUGUAGAGGUGUAGAUGUAGAGGUGUAGAUGUAGAGGUGUAGAUGUAGAGGUGUAGAUGUAGAGGUGUAGAUGUAGAGGUGUAGAUGUAGAGGUGUAGAUGUAGAGGUGUAGAUGUAGAGGUGUAGAUGUAGAAGUGGCAAUAAAAGUAAAGGUGCCAGUAGGUGGAUUCAGCAAUACAUCAGUAGGCAGAUGUCCGACAGUUUUAGGGUUGUCCGGAUAUAGAAACAGUAUUGCGGAUUGAGCCUCUCUAUCUAUCGCCUGCUUUGCCUUCUCGCCCCUCGCUCUGAGGCGCCGUACAUGUCAAGUGCAAGGCGCCAUCACAUGCGACGGCAGGUUGCUUGCUAUGUUACUAGGAGAAAUAGCGGGAUAGCUGCAACUGCUGCUACUACGACUGAUUCUGAUGAUGCCGAUGCUGGUAUUCUACGAUUCGCUCGUUUGCGCGCGUCUGCAUGAGUGCAGAAGCGCCUUCGUCAUGGUUUAUGUUGUUCGCC
rnacentral:lncRNA from 1 species